GUGCUGGCUUUGGCAGCACAUCCACUAAAAUUGGAACAAUACAGAGAAGAUCAGCAUGGCUCCUGCAUAAGGACACCAUGCAAAUUCCUGACGUGCUCUAUGUUUUG